rnacentral:rRNA from 1 species
GAUGAACGCUGGCGGCGUGCCUAAUACAUGCAAGUCGAGCGAACAGAUAAGGAGCUUGCUCCUUUGACGUUAGCGGCGGACGGGUGAGUAACACGUGGGUAACCUACCUAUAAGACUGGAAUAACUCCGGGAAACCGGGGCUAAUGCCGGAUAACAUGUUGAACCGCAUGGUUCUACAGUGAAAGGCGGCUUUGCUGUCACUUAUAGAUGGACCCGCGCCGUAUUAGCUAGUUGGUGAGGUAACGGCUCACCAAGGCAACGAUACGUAGCCGACCUGAGAGGGGGACCGGCCCACCGGGAAACGGCGCCGGGGCCCACCCUCACAGGGGGGGAGCAAGAGGGAAUUUUCCCGAAGGGGGGAAAGCCUAACCGGGCAAACCCCGGGGGGGGAAGAAGGGUUUCGGAUCGUAAAACCUCUGUUUUGGGGAAAAAAAAAAGGCGAAAUAACCUGGGCGCGUUUGACGGUACCCAAACAAAAAACCCAGGCCAAAUACCG